ACGAAUUCGAAGGUUUGGUUAUAGGUAAUUAUUCCAAAGCAGUUUGUUAAAAAUGACGAUCAAUCAUGAUAAUCAUUUUCAUAACACAGCUAAUAAAGUUUUACGUCAGUUUAUUCACGAGUGAAUAUAUGCAUUAUUCCUUAAUGCGCAGUUGUUGACAGUGCACAACUCUCUCACAGCUACACAUGUACAUUCCUCGUUACAACUUGCAGCUGCAUACCUAAAUUUAUUGUUUGAUAAUGAUAUGCAGAUCACUCCUCGUAUAGACACUCGUUUAUUAUUCUCCUCAAGUUGAAGUGGCAUAUUGCGCUUCCAUAGUUACCUGCUUGCCGCUAACGUAGGCCAUUCAGCAUUUGGCAUAAACUCAUGCCAAUUAGUGCCAACGAGAAUUAGAAUACUUCUGAAUAGAAACUAAAAGCUAAUUUGUCCCUCGGUCCAUUAUUUGUUCUGCUUAACCGUUAUUUCAACUCAGAGGAACAAGAGAUCAGAAUGGGCAUCUACAGGGUUCAAUUCCCCAAGUCUUCUCUGCAUAUUCUUCAAUUGUUCUGUCACUGCUAAAUCUUCCAGACCCAGCCAUGCUAAGAAUGCUCAUUUGAGUCCACUUCUCCUGAUCAACAAAUGCCAUAUCAGCAGCGGCCUGUGCUUCUAGAUAGCUCUCAAAAUCAGAACCAAGGAGGUAGAAGUCAUUGCCAACCUCCACGCUGUCACACAAUGAUUUAAAAUAGUCUUCAAAGCCAAAGUAGCCAUUUCGAACCAUCCUUACAACACGAGCAAAUUGAAGAGGUACUUUAAGAGCAGGUCCUUUCUCGCGCAAAACUGGAACUUCAUUUACUUUUGCACCAAACAAAAACAUGUUAUCUGCACCUAUCUCUUCUAUAAUUUCAAUGGUUGAACCAUCUGCAGUAGCUAGAAGUAAACAUCCAUUCAUCAAAAACUUCAUGCUGCCAGUUCCCGACGCCUCAUGUCCAGCAGUGCUUAUGUGUUGUGAUAGGUCAGCCCCUGGUAUUACCAACUCAGCAACAGAGACAUUGUAAUCAGGGAUAAAAACCAGCUUCAAAAGAUCAUCAACAUCUGGGUCAUUGUUAAUUUUUUCUGCUACAGCAUGACAAAGUUUGAUAAUCUUCUUUGCAAUUUCAUAACCAGGAGCAGCUUUUCCUCCAAUUAUGCAAACACGAGGGACAACAUUUCUCCUGUCAUUCUUCUCCAUGUUCUUUAUGCAAUCAUAUCUGUGAAUGAUGCCAAGUAUAUUGAGAAACUGUCUUUUGUACUCGUGUAUUCGCUUUAUCUGCACAUCAAACAUUGCAUCCACACUGACCUUGACCCCGCUCAUUGUUUCAAUAUAUUCUGCAAGCCUCAUUUUGUUAACCUUCCUCACCAUCUUCCAUUCUUGAUGUAAAUCAGCAUUUGUGGCAUACUCUUGCAAGCCUGCUAAUAGGUCCAAAUUGCGAAUCCAAGCUUCUGUCCCAAGCCAUUUUGAGAUAAGCGCACAUAAACUUGGGUUGCUGACAACAAUCCAGCGACGCUGGGUUACUCCAUUAGUCUUGUAAUGAAAUUUGUGAGGCCACAGCUCAUAGAAGUCCUUGAAAACUCUUGUUUUUAACAACUCCGCGUGUAUUUUAGAAACACCAUUCACAGUGUGAGAACAGACAAUUGAUAGAUUUGCCAUCCGAAUACUCUUCGCAGCACCUUCCUCAACAAUUGACAUCCUGGAAAGCCGGUCAUAAUCUAAACCAAUUCUCUUCUUCAACUUUUCAAUGAAAUUGAAGUUUAUAUCAUAUAUUAUUUGUAAAUGACGCGGUAGAAGACUUUCCAGUAGAUCAACAGGGAUUUUCUCCAAUCCUUCAGGCAACACUGUGUGAGUUGUAAAAGAGAAAAUCUUGCACACAAUGUCCCAUGCUCUGCUCCAACUCAAAUGCUCUUCAUCGAUGAGCACUCUCAUGACCUCAACUAUCGCAAGAGAUGGGUGAGUAUCAUUCAGCUGCAGAGCAACCUUUUCUGGGAAGUCAUCAAAGUUACUGUGAGCGUCUUUGAACCUCCGAAUAAUGUCUUGCAAUGAUGCAGAGACAAAAAAAUAUUGUUGUUUCAGCCGUAGUUCCUUCCCCUGAUGUGAGCGGUCAUCAGGGUACAAAAUGCUACUUAUGGUUUCUGCCGUCCUUCGAUUGACAACCGCAUCGAUGUAGUCUCCAGUAUUAUAGGACUCCAUAUCAUUUUGAUCACUUGGUUUUGCAGCCCAGAGGCGAAGAGUAAUUGUAUUCCUGGUUCCAUAGCCAGGUAUUGGAUUGUCAUAGGCUACAGCUUCAACCGUUUCUUUGGGGACCCAAACUUGACGUUUUCCUCCAUUGAAAUCUUCCUCUUCAACGGUCCCAUAGAACUUCACAGGGUAAGUUACAUGAAUCCGUUCUAUUUCCCAAGGAUUUCCAAAAUUUAACCAAUAAUAAGGUUGUUCAUGCUGAUAGCCAUCCAAUAUGACCUGACGGUACAACCCAUACUGGUAUCGCAGCCCAUAACCCAAUGCAGGAUAGUCCAAUGUUGCUAAGGAAUCAAUUUGACAAGCUGAAAGACGAGCAAGGCCACCAUUACCAAGAGCAGCAUCCCCUUCCUGCUCUGCCAAAACUUCAAACUCAAAACCAAGCUGAGAUAAUGCAUCAGCAUAUUGGUCCCGAAUGCCAAGAUUGAUGACACUAUUUGACAAGAAGCGACCCAUAAGAUACUCGAGUGAGAGGAAGUAUAUGCGCUUUGGAUCUUUUCUCUUGAAGUGUACUUGGGUAUCAUGCCAACGUUCAAUCAACCGAUCUCUCACGCUAUGUGCUAAAGCCUGAUAAGCUUCAAAAUCGUCAAAACUAAAGCGUGACCUGGCCACCGUAUACUCAACGUGACGUAAAAUAUCAUUUUGUAGAGUAAUCGGAUCGUUCUUCAAAAACUGAUCCAUUAAGCCGAACAUUCUAUCCACUUUUGCUCUCUCCUCACCUAGCCCCAAUCCAGCCCUCCUCACCGCUACACCUCUUCCAGUGGACCCCAUCUUCACCUCGGCGGCUCCAUCUCCACCUUCGAUCGCCUCAAUCAACGCUUUUUUAAUCUUAUCCAAGCUCUCAGCGUCCUCAAUUCUAUUCCCAUGGGAAUCAGUGACAUAAAACGUUUUCUUAAAAUAAUCCCCUUCGAAUUCAACAGUGGCCUUUUCGACGCGGAGGCCAAGAACUUUGAAGACACGAGUGAUGAUCUGGAGGAGGCCGAUUCGGCUACGGGCAUGGAUCACGAAGGCGGUUGCUGCGCAAGAAUCGGACUGGUCGUCGUCAGUCCCGACGGUGACGGAGGUGUUGAUAGUGGUGGUAGAUGCUGCAGGCGUGACCGGGAGCGGUUCGCUGGUGGAAGCGAGCCUGCGGAAGUUAAAAUGGGAAGCGUUGUAGAGAGCGGAAAUGGGGGAGAGGUUGUUAGAGGAAGCGGAAAAGGAGAAUAAAGGAGUGGUGUUGAAGGAUGGAGAUAAGAGUUUGAGUUGGGAGAGAGGUAAUGUGAUCGGAGACAUUGUGAGAAAUCACAUAAGCUGCAUUUGGGUUUCUGUAGGUGACAGUGUCACUGUGAAAAUGUGAGCUUGGAUAUGAUGAAUUGAUGAUGACGCGCUGGUUGGAGUCAUGGGAAAAGGGACUUAGCUUUUUAUUAGAGACAGUAUUGGAAGAGUGCGGUCUCAUUCACUUGAAGGCUCGAUUAUUUUUGCGCCACCUGCUCGUAAGUCCAAUUUCUGACCGUUGACCUGCACAGCG
rnacentral:misc_RNA from 1 species